rnacentral:rRNA from 1 species
UACGAAGGGGGCUAGCGUUGCUCGGAAUCACUGGGCGUAAAGCGCACGUAGGCGGAUUCUUAAGUCAGGGGUGAAAUCCUGGAGCUCAACUCCAGAACUGCCUUUGAUACUGGGAAUCUCGAGUCCGGGAGAGGUGAGUGGAACUGCGAGUGUAGAGGUGAAAUUCGUAGAUAUUCGCAAGAACACCAGUGGCGAAGGCGGCUCACUGGCCCGGUACUGACGCUGAGGUGCGAAAGCGUGGGAAGCAAACAGG